rnacentral:rRNA from 1 species
AACGAACGCUGGCGGCAGGCCUAACACAUGCAAGUCGAGCGCUCCGCAAGGGGGAGUGGCGCACGGGUGAGUAACACGUGGGAACCUACCUUCUGGUACGGAACAACCAAGGGAAACUUUGGCUAAGACCGUAUACGACCUCCGGGUGAAAGAUUGAUCGCCGGAAGAGGGGCCCGCGUCCGAUUAGGUAGUUGGUGAGGUAACGGCUCACCAAGCCUUCGAUCGGUAGCUGGUCUGAGAGGAUGACCAGCCACACUGGGACUGAGACACGGCCCAGACUCCUACGGGAGGCAGCAGUGGGGAAUAUUGGACAAUGGGCGCAAGCCUGAUCCAGCCAUGCCGCGUGAGUGAUGAAGGCCUU